rnacentral:lncRNA from 1 species
AACCUCUGUAGCUAAAAGACGUCUGAGGGGUGGUUUGUGCUCUGGUGGUGGCUUGUGCGGUGGUUUGUGCUCGGAUGAUGGCUUUUGAGGUGGAAAAUUCUUAGGAGGUGGUUUCUCUCCCUUACCCUUAAAUGGCGGUUUUUGGAAGUCCUCUACGCUAUCCUCGCUUAAUAGGUGCCCAUGUGGUGGCUUGUGUGGUGGUUUGUGCUCUGGUGUUGGCUUUUGAGGUGGAAAAUUCUUAGGUGGUGGCUUUUGAGGUGGAAAAUUCUUAGGAGGUGGGUUCUCUCCCUUACCCUUAAAUGGUGGUUUUUGGAAGUCCUCUUCGCUAUCCUCACUUAAUAGGUGACCAUGUGGUGGCUUGUGUGGGGGGUUGUGCUCUGGGGGUGGCUUUUGAGGUGGGAAAUUCUUAGGUGGUGGCUUUUGAGGUGGAAAAUUCUUAGGAGGUGGGUUCUCUCCCUUACCCUUAAAUGGUGGUUUUUGGAAGUCCUCUUCGCUAUCCUCACUUAAUAGGUGACCAUGUGGUGGCUUGUGUGGUGGGUUGUGGUCUGGUGUUGGCUUUUGAGGUGGAAAAUUCUUAGGAGGUGGUUUCUCUCCCUUACCCUUGUAAGGUGGAUCAUGGACAUCCUCUACAUUAUCCUCACUUAACAGAUGACCAUGUGGUGGCUUGUGCUGUGAG